rnacentral:rRNA from 1 species
UUUUUUGGUGCCCCGGAAUUGGGCCGCCAACCAGCCUUGGUGUUAACUCUAUUCAUAUUCUUGAUCGUGCACAUUCAGGUCCCAAGACCCCGCCCAGAUGGUACCUGCUAUUCGGAUAACCGUAGUAAUUCUAGAGCUAAUACGUGCAACAAACCCCGACUUCUGGAAGGGAUGCAUUUAUUAGAUAAAAGGUCAACGCGGGCUCUGCCCGUUGCUCUGAUGAUUCAUGAUAACUCGACGGAUCGCACGGCCUUUGCGCCGGCGACGCAUCAUUCAAAUUUCUGCCCUAUCAACUUUCGAUGGUAGGGAUAGUGCGCCUACCAUGGCUGGUGACGGGUCGACGGAGAAUUAGUGGUUCGAUUCCGGAGAGGGAGCCUGAGAAACGGCUACCACAUCCAAGGAAGGCAUCAGGCCCGCAAUUUACCCAAUCCUGACACGGGGAGGUUGUGACAAUAAAUAACAAUACCGGGCUCAUUGACUCUGGUAAUUGAAAUGAGUACCAUCUAAGUCCCUUAGCGAUGAUCACUUGGAGGGCUACUCUGGUGUCCUUACCAAUAAACCGUUGUCCCCAUUUAUUGUGCGUACCCCCGAUCUCUUGCUUUUGUCUUUCAAUCUUGCCUGUCCCACCCCCCGCGCAUAAUUCUAAAGUUCAUUUAACAGCUGGCAAGGCAUUGGGUGCCAAACCCAUCCACACUCUUUAACUUCCUUUUUCGUUUUUCGGGUGAAUAGCACCAUCGCAAUGUGUUUAUCCAUGGAACCCUUUUCUUUUGCUCCCCCCACCGCCCUGUUUUCCCAAUGCCCUUCCAGGCUUAUCCAUGUUUUACACAUAAAACAGAGAAACAAAUACCGCCCCCCUUUUCGCUCGCGCCUUUGAUUCGUUUUAACCUUCUCCCUUAAUACCUUCUGAGUUAACCCACGUUUUCUCACCCCGCUAUGAAACACAAAUGGAGAAAGUUUUUCCCCGCUCUUCUUUCCUUUCCUUUGCCUAGCUCCCCCUCACCCACGUUUCUUUCUCCAGAUUUUUUUCCCCCAUUUGACACCCCUUUUCCCCUCCUAUGGUUGUAAGACCUCCUGUGGGGGGCGAUGUUUUGUCAACUCCUUUUACAAAGAAACUUGUUAAACAAAAAAAAUCCCAUGUCAUCUGGAUGUGUUUCUUGCGCCCUUUUUUUUUACCCCGCCCCCUACACGUAGAAAAUUUCCACCUGGUGAUGAGCACUCCAGCCUUCUGUGUUUCUAUUACCUUCUUAUACCGUGAUAAUAAUUUCUAACGCCUCCCCGGCCUGCACUCACACGUGGGCGAUCAUUCACCACCAUACAAGUGGUUUUAUGUACGCUCGCUUCUGUGUGUCUCUCUAUUUUUUCUUCCCGUUGCCUUGUUAUCGAGCAUAUGUUAACACCUAGUGUUUUCCUAGACGCGCGGAAUGGUAUUGUUAACACACCGCACAUUGUUCUUGUACCCGGUCCUUCUCCAUAGUAUCCCCCCUCUCUUGUGUAUUUUAGUCUAUAUUUCGUUUCUCCGUUGAAUAUGAGCUAGAUACAAUAGAUAGUAGUAAUAUCUCUAUUCUUGUAUCUCCACAUGAUAAGCUUCCCUCUCCAUAAAUAGAGAGAUCCCACCUCUGAUUCUCAUUCUGUUUACGCGAUUGUUAUUAUUAUAGAUAUAGUGAGCGUGCUGCUCCCACUGCAUCGUUAUUCUCUAUCACAGCUACCGCGUUUUGUGAUCUCUUCAACAACAGAACACCGCACUAUAUGUUACUUGCUUCUAUUCUCUCACUAAUAUAGUUAGUUUUAUCUCGCUCCUCGGAUAUAAGAAGAAGUAUUACUGUUCUCGCCCUCUUAAUCUCUACCUCCGCGACUGUACUCAUUCUCUCUCACUCUCGUCCUCUUGCUUCUGAAUAGAGAAGAUAACAUUUAUGUUUCGUGUUUGUGGUUAACUAACUACUGAUCUGUAUGUCUGUGUUCUUGUAUCUAAAUUGUGCUCACCAUAUCACAGAUAUGUAUGUUAGUUGGUUCUUCACCAAUAUAACUAUAUAUACCCGUCCUAUCUGUUCCGAUUCUUCUCUGUGUUAGAAGAUGAUAUCUGAUGGCGAACAGA